rnacentral:rRNA from 1 species
AGUGAACGCUGGCGGUAGGCCUAACACAUGCAAGUCGAACGGCAGCACAGUAAGAGCUUGCUCUUACGGGUGGCGAGUGGCGGACGGGUGAGGAAUACAUCGGAAUCUACUUUUUCGUGGGGGAUAACGUAGGGAAACUUACGCUAAUACCGCAUACGACCUACGGGUGAAAGCAGGGGAUCUUCGGACCUUGCGCGAUUGAAUGAGCCGAUGUCGGAUUAGCUAGUUGGCGGGGUAAAGGCCCACCAAGGCGACGAUCCGUAGCUGGUCUGAGAGGAUGAUCAGCCACACUGGAACUGAGACACGGUCCAGACACCUACGGGAGGCAGAAGUGGGGAAUAUUGGACAAUGGGCGCAAGCCUGAUCCAGCCAUACCGCGUGGGUGAAGAAGGCCUUCGGGUUGUAAAGCCCUUUUGUUGGGAAAGAAAAGCAGCAGGUUAAUACCCCGCUGUUCUGACGGUACCCAAAGAAUAAGCACCGGCUAACUUCGUG